rnacentral:lncRNA from 10 species
GCCGCUGGAGGUAGGCGGGAUUUCCGGGCACGGCUUCUGGCGUCCUUCCCCCUCAGGCCAGUUCCAGCAGUCCUUCCCGCAGUUGGCCCCGUGGUGUCCCAAAGCCGGAUGCAUACGACAUGAGAGCCGGGCGACCCUGAGGCUGUUUGUCCUGCUGAAAAGCACGUGUAUUUUCUGUUUCUCUGGACAGAGCAUGAGAGUCUCAGAAAUGAACCAGAAAUCCUACAGCGAAGAUCUGGGUGAAACCAGGGGCCCAAAGGUCACAUCAAGAGUCUUCCAACUCUUUUCCACUUUUGCAAGGUUUUGCUUUGUUUCCCAGACUGGAGCACAGUGAUGAGAUCUUGGCUCACUGCAAUCUCUGCCUUCUGGGUACAAGCAAUUAAUUCUCCUGCCUCAGACUGCUGAAUACCACGUUGCAUAACCCUCAUCUCUUGGUGACACAUGGUCAUUUCUUCAGGAAGAGACUGGCUCUCUGCAUGGAGGACCUCCAUAAUUCUCUCAUCCAAGUGACAUGGGAUAUUUAAUGUUAAAAUGAUUAAAUAUUAUGUAAAGGACACAAAAUCUGAAACACUGUUUUUUCUUCUGUAAAACAACUUUUUAAAAUUAUUUCUUGUAUGAC